rnacentral:tRNA from 1 species
GAAGUGUUAGUAAAACAUUACAUGACUUUGUCAAAGUUAAGUUAUAGGUGAGAACCCUAUACACCUCA